UGAGUAACCUGCCCUUAACUCUGGGAUAAGCCUGGGGAAACUGGGUCUAAUACCGGAUAUGACUCCUCAUCGCAUGGUGGGGGGUGGAAAGCUUUAUUGUGGUUUUGGAUGGACUCGCGGCCUAUCAGCUUGUUGGUGAGGUAAUGGCCCACCAAGGCUUCGACGGGUAGCCGGCCUGAGAGGGUGACCGGCCACACUGGGACUGAGACACGGCCCAGACUCCGUACGGGAGGCAG
rnacentral:rRNA from 1 species